rnacentral:misc_RNA from 1 species
CAAGCACUGAGUUACAGGCAUGGGCCA